GCAAAACGCGAAGAACCUUACCUAGGCUUGACAUGCAUCUCUAAGCGCGUGAAAGCGCGUGACCCUUCGGGGGAUUUGCACAGGUGCUGCAUGGCCGUCGUCAGCUCGUGUCGUGAGAUGUUGGGUUAAGUCCCGCAACGAGCGCAACCCUUGUGAACAGUUGCCAGCACUUAAGGUGGGAACUCUGUUCAGACUGCCCAGAUCAACUGGGAGGAAGGUGGGGACGACGUCAGGUCAGUAUGGCCCUUACGCCUAGGGCUGCACACGUACUACAAUGCCCAGCACAAUGAGAACCGAGACCGCGAGGUGGAGGAAAUCUAAAAAACUGGGCCCAGUUCGGAUUGGAGGCUGCAACUCGCCUCCAUGAAGUUGGAAUCGCUAGUAAUGGCGCAUCAGCUACGGCGCCGUGAAUACGUUCCCGAGUCUUGUACACACCG
rnacentral:rRNA from 1 species